CUGAAGCCGAUUAAACCAACCAGCUUCCUUUCCUCUUGGGAACCUUGCGCGAAAUGGUUGCAAACAGCCGCCUCUUUGGGAAUGUGUUCAGCCUGUUACCUGUACAGGUCCCCCGAGGGAAUUUGGAGACAACU
ensembl:snoRNA SNORA70 Small nucleolar RNA SNORA70